rnacentral:rRNA from 1 species
GUCCACGCCCUAAACGAUGCGAACUGGACGUUGGAUGCAACUAGGCAUUCAGUGUCGAAGCUAACGCGUUAAGUUCGCCGCCUGGGGAGUACGGUCGCAAGACUGAAACUCAAAGGAAUUGACGGGGGCCCCGCACAAGCGGUGGAGUAUGUGGUUUAAUUCGAUGCAACGCGCAGAACCUUACCUGGUCUUGACAUCCACGGAACUGCCCAGAGAUGGGCGGGUGCCUUCGGGAACCGUGAGACAGGUGCUGCAUGGCUGUCGU